UGUAAGCGUAUACCAAAGUUGUUGCAGUUAAAACGCUCGUAGUCGGAAUUUGGCAGUUCCGGAUGUGUGCACGUCGUGUGCGCACUUCGCGGGGAUUGCUUUUGUGGUCUUGCGUAGGAUGAGGCACUUUUAUUAGUGAACGUCCUCACGCGACCACUUUUUACUGUGAGAAAAUCAGAGUGCUCAAAGCAGGCAUUUGCCGUGAAUGUAUUAGCAUGGAAUAAUAGAAUAGGACUCGGUUCUAUUUUGUUGGUUUGUUGGGACUGAGUAAUGAUUAAGAGGGACAGUUGGGGGCAUUUGUAUUUCGGCGCUAGAGGUGAAAUUCUUAGAUUGCCGAAGGACAAACUGCUGCGAAAGCGUCUGCCAAGGAUGUUUUCAUUAA
rnacentral:rRNA from 1 species